rnacentral:rRNA from 1 species
UACGGAGGAUCCAAGCGUUAUCCGGAUUCAUUGGGUUUAAAGGGUGCGUAGGCGGCUUAUUAAGUCAGUGGUGAAAUCCCGAGGCUCAACUUCGGAACUGCCAUUGAUACUGAUAAGCUUGAGUGUAAAUGAAGUGGGCGGAAUGUGUCGUGUAGCGGUGAAAUGCUUAGAUAUGACACAGAACACCGAUUGCGAAGGCAGCUCACUAAACUACAACUGACGCUGAGGCACGAAAGCGUGGGGAUCAAACAGG